UACGUAGGGGGCAAGCGUUGUCCGGAAUCAUUGGGCGUAAAGCGCGCGUAGGCGGCUCAGUAAGUCCGCUCUGAAAGCUUGGGGCUUAACCCCAAGAGGCGGGCGGAUACUGCUGGGCUCGAGUCCGGAAGAGGCGAGUGGAAUUCCUGGUGUAGCGGUGAAAUGCGCAGAUAUCAGGAGGAACACCGGUGGCGAAGGCGGCUCUCUGGACCACAACUGACGCUGAGGCGCGAAGGCCAGGGGAGCAAACGGG
rnacentral:rRNA from 1 species